UUGUAGCGACCCAGGAAAAAUCCCCAGAUUAGAUUUUGUUUGUUAUUUUCCUUUUAUGCAUAAUCAUGGCAUCAUGCAUCUCUCACCUUGCAUAUUUUGCGAAAAGCCAAAAAUAUUUGUAAUAACCCUAUUUUGAUUUCUCUUGUAUGGUUUAAUAAAAACCUUCCUCUGCUCUUUUCUUAUUUUAACAAAACUCGAAACAAAAGAUAUUUGCAAUAUUUUAGACAAACAGUUUUACUAAAAUAUGGUUUUGAAAUGUUGUCCUCUCCCGGUAUCUUUCUCUUUUCUUAGUAUCUUUCUUCCCAGUUUUGACAUUCUUUUCCAUUCCUUUGAUCAUCUAUCAAGUGUAAAAUUUCCCACAUUUCUUUGAUUAAAAACGUACUUGCUAACUAGCUGGUCAAUUCUCUGUUUCUGGAAACGACCGAAGCUGAGUCUCUUUUUCCUGUUCUCCUCCUCACGAUGAGAGCGUGAGCUUUAUGGCUCACGUCACCUGCGUGCGCGCCGUGCCCGCACUGGCUCCUCUUGAUAUUUUCCUUGGAAUCCCUCCACAGCCACACAACGCAACCCGCCUCCACCUACUCCUUCCUCCUUUCCCCUUCUCCACGGCAAGAAACCAGAAGAAAAACACCAUGACCGCAUCUCACAGAAACGUUGAACGUGUCGUCGCCUCCGACCACCCCUCGCCGAGCUGAAGCCACGGAAAGAUGCGCCACGUUCUCCUCUACCUGCUCGUCCAAGGAAUCGAGCCGGGGCUCGUCCAAUCAAGCAUACGGUCGCCGAUUCCCCGCAGCGUUCGUCAUGCUUCUUCUCCGAUUCCGGCCGCCACACCCUUCUCCGGCCUUCGGCGUCUGCACCAUCAGCUUCCUGGUGAAGUUCCCGUUCCCCUGGACCUCUUCUUCAUCCCCGUCUUGCUCUGGUUCGAUCCAACGUCGGUGACCGUCUCUUUUAUCCGCAGGACCACGCCGCCGGCAAGGCUCCGGUGACCCCCUGGCUUUGGCUCCACCACCAUCUGGUUCACCUCGUCGAGGCGCCCCAGCGCUCCAUCUCCUGCGUCCCGGUUUGUGCCGAAUCCAUUGAUCGGUGCUCAACCAGAGCUCACCUCCGCCAUGGAUGUUUUGUUCCCCAGAUCUCCGCCUUGGCUUGGUUCAAAACGUUGCGUGACAUGGACUUGACACGAUCAGACAUGUAGCAUAGUGAUCCAGCGCCUAUUGGGCCUAGGCCCAUGUUCCCGCCAGCUUCUUCGACGCUGAGCGUGCGUCAGGCCUCUAUCCGCUGCUCAGCAUUUGCUUCUUCCCGGAUAGGAUCGCGAAGUGAUGUGGUGAGAUACGCCAAGUUCUCCGGAUGUUCCUCGGCAAGCUUUAACAGGCAAGCAUUUCCCUAUACUCCUGUCCCUGCAGGAGUCGCUCACCUAUUUUAUUUUGCCUUCUCCCUCAUGCUAUCCUUAAGUUGCGUUCUUGUCGCGUGUCCCUUCCACUUGUUACCUCAAGCAGCCUAUAUUGCCUCCACCAAUCUCCUACAGCUAUUGUUUGGUUUCGGGUCUGCCUUGCGAGUCGUAGUGCAUGCUAGUGCUGUUUAUAUCUCGUUACCGUUAUUGCUAUCUUAUCGGGUUAUCUGUUGGAAGUUCAUGACACAUGGUUUAUGGAUAUAUCUGUUGAGGGUAUCAUGGUUACUUUAAUUGUUAAGCGGAGGCAUCAGUGAGUCAGUUGCUCGUUUUAUGACGGCUCACUUGUGUUUCUUUAAAGCUUAGGACCCGAGUUCCUGUUAUCUGUUCCGAGACUGAGCGCUCUAACCACACGUGGGUAUGUUUAUUGGGUCUCCCCUCGACCACUACCGGAAUCUUCAGCUUUGUCCAGUGGCCACAACUAGUUUGCAUGUUUUACCAUUUGUUGUUCGCGUGCAUGCCAGCCUGUUACUUCUUUAUCUUUGGGAAGCCCCUGGGUGCCUUGUAUCCCUUGUUUCUGGUAUGCACGUAUAGGUCGCGGAGCCGCUGCGAAGUGGUUUAUCGCCCCAGUGUGUGUUUAAACCACCUAGUACGCUGGCGCAACAGCUAGGUCCGUUUCGGAGAUACGGCCGGACUUCGAUACGGGUUCAACUUAGUUAGGUGGCUUCCUGGACAUUGUUGUAGUGAAGGAGAGUGCGAGCCGUGAUAUCCACCUGUCGUAAGUGGAACGAUCGGUGCGUGUGGGCACAUUUGGGCACCCCUGCAGGGUUACAAUCUUAUCGAUAAGCCGUGUCCGCGGUUAUGGACGACUUGGAGCUGUAUGACUCGACCAUAGACAACUUACACCUGUUGUUUCAAUACUAAUAACCUGCAUAGUAAGAUAGAGCAACUUAAAUAAUAACUGGCUAAAACUUGUCAACCGUGUGAGUGCCCUUGUAAGUACUUCCUUGCGAGGGGGGAACACAUCGGCUGUGUUAUGUUUGUAGAGUAUAGAACUGUUAGUUAUGCGCUCUCUCACCUUCUCUGUUUAGACGAAUGUUGUAGAGUGUCUCUAUAGGUUUUUAGUGCUUGCGCGCUGCCGCUUAACCCCACCAUAUUGCCUAUGACGUUCCUCUUGCGUCCUCUAAGUCCCCUGCGUGCCUCAAGUACAAAGGACGACUGGUUGACGAAUGCUUAUACGUCUUGAAGUCUUGUUAAGUACGAACCCGUACUUAUUGCUGCUUCUACGGGACAUAACCGGGCAGGUAUGAAGAUCGAUGUGAUGAAGACGACGUUAGCAAGGUUACCCUUCCGUCUUGGCCUGGGCAGGGUUAUGGACGCCGCUGGUUAUCUUCAGGACUCUUAGUCCAAUUUGUAUCUUGUCCGUACUCGGACAUAUUUGAUCUUCUGUAUGAGUUGGAUCUUUGUAUUGUACAUUUGUAUCUUGGCUCGUUGGAGUCGUUGUUGUAAUAUAUCUGUCUCUU